rnacentral:rRNA from 1 species
UACGUAGGGUGCGAGCGUUGUCCGGAAUUAUUGGGCGUAAAGGGCUCGUAGGCGGUCUGUCACGUCGGGAGUGAAAACUCAGGGCUUAACCCUGAGCCUGCUUCCGAUACGGGCAGACUAGAGGUAUGCAGGGGAGAACGGAAUUCCUGGUGUAGCGGUGAAAUGCGCAGAUAUCAGGAGGAACACCGGUGGCGAAGGCGGGUCUCUGGGACGGUACUGACGCUGAGGCGCGAAAGCGUGGGGAGCGAACAGG